GGGCGUGACAAAAGAUGUAUAAAGAUUUGAAGUUAUUGUAUUGGUGACCUGGGAUGAAAAAUGAUGUUGGAGAAUUUGUAGCUCGAUGUUUAACUUGUUAACAGGUAAAAGCUGAACAUCGACUACCCGCGGGAAAGCUUCCGAGUUUAUCUAUACCCGUGUGGAAAUGAGAAAAUAUUUCUACGGAUUUUAUUAUAGGCUUGCCUCGUUCAUAAGCCGGUUGUAAUGUUAUUUGGGUGAUCGUAUAGGUUGACGAAAUCUGCUUAUUUCAUUCCUAUUCACACUAUUUGGACGGGAGAGAGACUCGCACAAGUGUACCGUGACGAAAUUGUGCGAUUAUAUGAAGUGCCUACAUCUAUAGUAUCGGAUCGAGAUUCCCGAUUUGUAUCACAUUUUUGGAAGAGUUUGCAUGAUGCAUUAGGCAUUCAACUAGAUUUCAGCACUGCUUUCUACCCUCAGAGUGAUGGGCAAGCUGAGCGUACUAUCUAGAUUCUUGAAGAUAUGUUUUGGGCUUGUGUGAUGGGCUUCCAAGGUGGAUGGCCUCAAUAUCUACCUAUGGCAGAGUUUGCUUAUAAUAACAGUUAUUAAGUAAGCAUUAAGAUGACACUAUUUGAAACCCUUUAUGGAAGGAAGUAUACAUCAUCUCUUCAUUGGAGUGAAGUAGGUGAAAAGCUGAUUUUGGGUCCAUAUGUGCUCCAGGAAGCUAAAAGUAAGGUUCGCCUUGCAUGAGAGCGAAUAAUUGCAGCUCAAAGUAGAUAGAAGAGUUAUGCGGAUAAGCGUCGACGAGAAUUGGAAUUCCAAGUUGGAGAUUAUGUUUUUUUGAAAGUCUUGCUGACGAAAGGAAUUAAGAGGUUUGCCAUUCGAGGAAAGUUGAGUCUUCAAUUUAUUGGACCCUACGAGAUUAUGGAGCGUGUAGGCCUGGUAGCUUAUCGGCUUGCUUUACCGCCGAACCUAUUAGGAGUACAUAAUGUAUUUCAUAUUUCUGCACUACGGAAGUAUGUAUUCAAUCCAGCUCAUAUUUUGGAUUCUACACCAUUGGAGCUAUGAGAGGACUUAAGCUUCGAGGUGCAAUUUGUGAGAAUUUUCGCUCGCGAGGUGAAGAAGUUUCGGAAUCGAAGCCACUUGGGAGCUGGAAAGUGCACUCCAGAAGUGUUAUCCCCAUAUUUUUCAGAUGGAAUCUUGAGGUACUUGAUUUUUAGUUUCGCGGACGAAACUCCUUUUCAGAAGGGGAUAAUGUAGUACACUGAACUUUAGCAAAUUAAAAGGUUAUAGUGUAAUAAUAGUAUUAUGAACUAUUCUGGACAUUUUGGGGAUCAAUGAUGGUGUAUCGAUCCUUUACUUAAGCUCCCGAGUGCGAGAAUGGAUUUUUAACAUUAAAAUCUGUAAAUUGCAAGUUUUGAGUGUCGAGUACCGGUACCUGAGUGCGGUACGGGAACCCUGUAGGGUGCCAGAAUGUGUUGCUCUCGGGUUUGAGAAGCUGCGCAUUGAGUACCAGUACUGAGCUGGUGAGUACCGGUAUUGUGCUGAGUACCGAUACUAUAUCAGGCGGGUAUCGGUACACUUUAUAAAAUCCGAAUGUCCAGCGCUCGAGUUUUGCGAGACUGAGCACUGGGUACCGGUACUCCAAUUCGAGUACCGGUACUCAAUGCUGUAAUUGAUAUUUGUUUAGUCAGCUAAUUGUGAGUUGUUUAGGGGUAUAAUUGGAAUUGAGCCUAGUGUUUAUCCUCAACAGCUCCCCCAGCUAUUCCCUCGUGCUGGAAUCAGAGAAGAGUUAUGGUGAGCUCCUUCUCUUUCUCUCUCUAGAUUUUUUUCCAAUUUUAGUGGAGAUUGAUGGAAUUGAUAUCUCUUUUCUUCUCUUUUCCAUGAAAUCUGGUUUUGUGAUCCUUGGAGAAGCUUUGGAAGUGAAGAAAAGAGUGUUUUUGAGGAUAAAUCUCUAACCCUAACUCAAGGUUGGCUUGGUUUGGAGCUCUUGGAAGGGUGCUUUGAGGCUAAAGGAUGCUUUGAGGCUAAAGGAUAUCUUCGCUCGAGCAAAACGAGUUCGAGGGGUAUCCGGUGGGUUUGACCUUACCGAAAUGGCCAUUCACAGCGGGAGAGGCUAGGAAUCGCGGCAAGGGGGUCACAUCUAGUUAGAGUUAGUUUGGAGCUUCUGCUAGGUGGUCACCUCUUCUUUUGAUGUAGCUGGCGAGAGAGUUUUGUUCUUGAUGUCUAGAGACCACCAUGUAUAUAUAGUUUUAUACUUUGGCUACUUGAUGUAUGUAUAUCUUUGAGACUGUUAAUGUUAGUUAGUUGUUUCCUUUUUA